rnacentral:lncRNA from 1 species
UCAGACCGCGUGUUCACUCAGUCUUGGCUUCUUGAGUCCUGCAGGCCACACGGGCGUGUGUGAGACCAUGUGGAUCAUACGACCUAUGGGCCCAUUUUUUGAAAAUUCUCAUUUUGGCCUGUUUUGUUUCAUGAACUGUAUUUAGCCUCUCUGUAGGUCUGAACCGCUUAAUUAAGACCAAGAAAUCGAUGAAUAUGCUUCUGUG